GAGAGAGCUGUUGUUUGUCCAGGGUGUUUCCAGUUCCCGGAUGUGGAUUACAUGGAGUGCGCAGUUUCAGAAAAGAACACAAAUAAUUGUGUCUUACGCGUAUUUAAUGACUAGAAAUGUAGUUGAAUUUAAAAAUCAUAGUUAUCUAGAAAAAAUUAUGUAUAUAUAUUUUUUUGUUAUUGUUAUUAUUAUUAUUUCCCAUUUGCUUUGCAAAUGUGGUGAAGUGAGAUUCCUCCGAUCACAAUUAACCUGUAAAAUAAGGUGAUCCUGAAGUGCAAAUGAAAUUCAGAUACACAACAGCAAAUCUGAAAACAGCAGGCUAUACAUCAGAAAGGGCAGUGCUUAUUAAAGAAAGCGUGUUGACUGGACAGAGACUGUGAGGCCAAACAAGGUUAUUUGGAAGAGACAAACAUGUGGCCAAAUCAAGGACCUCCAGCCGCUGGGCCGCCCAAUCCUGCCUUUCCUUCUCCUCCAAACCCAGCGUACCCAGCCAUGCCCGGACCCAACCCCGUCUAUCCACCCAUGAACCAUCCCACGACCAUCCCGUACCCCGCGCCCAACCAGCCGUUCCCCCCGGCGGGGCCCUUCCCCGGGGCCGCUCACCCCUGCCCCGUCCCUCAGUACGGGGGCCACCCCGCGGGAGUCCACGCACCUGGACACAAGAAACACAAGAAGAUGAAGAAAGGCCAUAAAGCUCAUAAAGCUCACAAGGAGCACAAACACAUGAAACAUGGCAAGCAUUCCUCAUCCAGCAGCAGCAGCAGCAGCAGCAGUGAUUCUGACUGAAGACAAGCACUCACACACAACCUGCUCUCUGUCUGCGUCUGAUCUCACGAGUGUCAGGGCUGAUAAAUCAAGCCCAGCGGCUAUACAAUCGAUAAUCAAAUGCAGUAAUGUAUUGCACUUAAGUAUAUUUAUGUGUUUCUGUGAGUCUGAAUGCUUUUCUUAAUUACAUUUACAAGAAAAAAGUAAUAAUCAGCUUUCCGUGUGAAGAGAUCACAUUUAAUUAUAACUUUUGCUGAACUUGACUCAGUUGUGAACAACAUACUGAAAUGUCAGACAUCUGCCUCCAUUUGAGAAUGGACAACUGUAAUUAAACAAGCUCACUUUGUUUAUGCAUUAAGGAGAAAAGUCCCAGAUAGCACACACACAUACGUCUGCAAGACGUCUGGAAAACAUCUGCUGUGCACAAACAUCUGAUAAACCUCUUUAAAAAGUCAGUUUUACAUACAUUCUAAAUCAUAAACAUCUUAAAUAACAUCUUUAACAUCUGACAGGAGAAGUCCCAGAAACGUAUUGCAGAUGAGCAGAUGUAAACACACACCUGGAAUAGACGUCUCUGAGAUAUGUGUGCUAUCAGGCCUGCUUCUUCCUCUCUUGUGUUCAUUAAAAAGUUAAACAAUUAAAAAGUAUAUGCUUUGGCCUGGAUACAUCUAGUUCUGUAACUGAGGAAGCUUCAGACACAACACCUGUAGUGUAAUGUUUCUUUGCACUACCUGAAGCAGUAAAUAUGUAUUGAUCAAAGUUAAUAAUCAGGAAUUGAUGAAGCUGAAAUAGAUAUUGUAGUUAAUAUAGACAUGAGUGUUCUGCAAGUGAUGUAUUUCAGAUUUAAUCAGCUGUAAACGCACUUUAAAUGGCUUUAACUGUGUGUGCUGAGAAAUCAGUUGCAUGUUUUUGUUGGCUAAUAAAGAGGCACAGGCAGUUUUUCAAUGAAUAAAACAUUAAGAGAAAGCUUGAAACAUCUUCCAGUUAUAUUCAUUAUUGUGUGCUAAAUUAAUGUUUUAAUAACAAUGCAAUUACUUUGUCAACAAAUCUUGGGAUUUGCACAGCUCAGCAUUAAAAUAUCUCCUGAAUGCCCU
rnacentral:lncRNA from 1 species